rnacentral:rRNA from 1 species
CCUACGGGCUGCACCAGUGGGGAAUAUUGCACAAUGGGCGCAAGCCUGAUGCAGCCAUCCCGCGUGUAUGAGGAAGGCCUUCGGGUUGUAAAGUACUUUCAGUCGGGAGGAAGGUGGUGAGCUUAAUACGCUCAUCAAUUGACGUUACCGACAGAAGAAGCACCGGCUAACUCCGUGCCAGCAGCCGCGGUAAUACGGAGGGUGCAAGCGUUAAUCGGAAUUACUGGGCGUAAAGCGCACGCAGGCGGUUGAUUGAGUCAGAUGUGAAAUCCCCGGGCUUAACCCGGGAAUUGCAUCUGAUACUGGUCAGCUAGAGUCUUGUAGAGGGGGGUAGAACUCCAUGCGUAGCGGUGAAAUGCGUAGAGAUGUGGAGGAAUACCGGUGGCGAAGGCGGCCCUCUGGACAAAGACUGACGCUCAGGUGCGAAAGCGUGGGGAGCAAACAGGAUUAGAUACCCUCGUAGUC